ACAACUUUCAACAACGGAUCUCUUGGUUCUGGCAUCGAUGAAGAACGCAGCGAAAUGCGAUAAGUAGUGUGAAUUGCAGAAUUCAGUGAAUCAUCGAAUCUUUGAACGCACAUUGCGCCCCUUGGUAUUCCAUGGGGCAUGCUUGUUCGAGCGUCAUUUGUACUCUCAAGCUCUGCUUGGUAUUGGGUGCUUGUCCUCUCCUUUGUAGUGGACUCACCUUAAAUUCAUUGGCAGCCAAUGUAUUGGUCUUG
rnacentral:rRNA from 1 species